ensembl:lncRNA
CCGCCGCCAGCCUCUCCUUCAUCAUCCAUUCACUCAUUCAUUACAUUUUGUAUACUGAAUACAAACUAAGUGCUGAACUUUAUUCUGCUGCUGAGAAGAUAAGUCCCUUGCGCAUGGAGCUCACACUGAAUUUUGACACCCAGUAAGCAAGAAAAUAAAUAGAUAAGAAAAUUUCCGAGGAUGAUAAGUGCUAUCUAAAUAAAUAAAUAAAUAAAUAAAUAAAUAAAUAAAUAAAUAAAUCUGGGGAAGCAAUAAGGAGUAGUUACUUCAGAUUGGUUGGUCAGGGUUGGUCUUUGUUGGGAGGAAAAAUGGCAUUUUCACUGAAUGACAGAGACAAGUCAACCACAUAAAGAUAUGGGGACAGAACUUUUCAGGGGCACGAACAGGAAGGGCAAAGGCCCUGAGACAGGAAGGGGCUUGGGGUCGGGGCAACCAACACGCGUCGCCAGGAGCAGGAUAGGAGAGGAUUUCGGCAGUAAGUGGGCGCCUCAUCAGCCUGGCGUGCCGGAGGAGCAGUAGAGGGGCCCUGAGAGACGAGUGAUGGGGCUCUGGUAAGCUCUGGAAAGCUCCCUCUGGCCGCGGAGUGGAGAACUGGUGUCGAAGGACAGAGGCAGUUUUAACACCUGGAGCUGCAGGGUCCCAGCCAGGGUGCGGGCGCGGAGAGGGCAGACGGGGGAUUCGGGGCGUGCUUGCAGAUGGAGCCCUAUCUUGUCACUGGGUCGCCUACGGGGCUGCCUGGGGCCAGGAAAAACGGAUUCGAGGCGCCGCCCUCGGCCUUACCACUCCCUCACUGCCCUUUCAUCAUUAUCCAAAACCCGGGCAGCUGCCGUUCACUGGGGAUUUGCACGCAGAUCCUUACUUCAUCAACUGGCUUGUCUCGACAGGUCUAACAGCAGCGUGGAGUGAGGUACUUACCCGGCCUUGCCCGGGCGUGAGAAGACUGACUGCACGUGGAGCGGGAGCCCGCAGGUACUCAGCGGUGAGCAGGAGACGGCACGUGGACAGAGCCCGAUUGCGGCUGCGCCGCGUCCACCCGGGGCCUCCGCAGGCUCCGCCUCCAGCCCCGCCGCAGGCUCCGCCUCCAGCCCUGCCGCGCAGGCGCUCUCCAGCCGUUAUUUGGAGGACAAGGACAAGGGUCCGCCUCUGCUCCCGCCUUCCAGCUCGGAAGCCUGACCCCUGGAGACUUUCCUCUGGGAGAACAGAAAUCCAGAGUUUUGGGAUCCAAGCCCCUCAGGUCAGGGUGGCAAAGAGCUCAGAUGAAAUGUGUUGCAUUACACCGGCACCAAUAAGUCACACUAUCUAUGUUGUGACACACCGAAUAUUACUAAUUGUCAAUCACAAACCACAAGUCUUGUCAAGGCGCUCCCUUCUCAACGGGCUGGUUCAAACCUGAAGUGAUUUUUAAUCAAGUGUUAAUAAUACAGCAUCUGUCAGUGGACGGUGUGUAUCAGGCAAUCAGAAAAAGUGAACAUAUGACACGGCAAAUUUUAAUGUUUUCAUUUUCCGUUCUUCCCAAUUAUCGGUGGGAUUUCUGUCAGCCUGAAAAGUGCACUGACAUUAUUGCGGGUGAACUUCAC